CAACAAGAGCUAGUAAGAAAGAGAAACUAUUGAUAAGAUAAUCAACUACAUUUGAAAACGUGAUAUUUAUACGCGCCUGUGUGUAGUGUGUGUGUUAAUAAAAAUAUCCAUAUAUAUGUAUACAAUACAUACCUACGCAUUUAUCUACGAAAGUUCUAAGUACUGUACGAUUUAUUUACGUUUUUGUGUAUUUUUGUAUUGUUUUGAACAAAUAAAACAACAAUUUUCACAUACGAUGGCUCUCUGUGCUUGUAAAUGUCUGAAUGUAACGUUAGAAAGUGAUACAUUUGAAGAUAAUGUAGAUAUUGGAAAACUGGAGCUCACAUCCACCGAACAAAGGGAUAUUUUUUUCAGUGAGAAGCUGUUAUCAUGUCCUGCCAAUGGUGUCAAAAGACAGGUGGUACAGCAAGCUUUAGCUGGGACCCAUGUAGUAGGUCGCUGGACCAUACACACUUGUCUUGCUUGUGAUCAGAUCACCCAUGCCAUUCUGCAGGAUAAAAAUGCUCUCUCUGUUAUGCUGAUUCCCAAGACUCUUCAAACAUCAUCUGACCGGGUUAAUUACUUAAAGAAGUCACAUAAUUUCUCACCAGUAUUCAACUUGUUAGUGCCAGAAGUAACAAAUGACAUAGAAAUGAAAGAGAAUGUGGACACUAACAAUUUCAUGGUUAGUGAAAAGAAGAGAUGGCCACCAAGCCACCAGGUCAUUGGAACCCUCAGCAAGCAGCUGAACCAAACCCUGCAGUCACAACUGGAAGCUGUUGAGGAAACUGUUAGGCAAUUUCGAUCAGAAGUAUGCAGAAUUUGAAGCAUACAGGAAAGAGCACAAAGGGAUCACAAAAUAUUAGCUAGUAUCAUAAGUAAGGCGCAAAAUAAUGGUGAAAAUGACUGGAGAGUGGACACAAGCUUGGACAAUGGUCCUCCCUCCCCUCAACUACCUCCACUACAGAGAAGAAGACUGUCCUCACUUAAAGAUGCCAAAAAAGCCCAAAAUAUUAUUAAGCCAAAUAAAACUAUACCUGCAGAAGAAGAUUCGUUGGAUGCGGAAGAUCUGUUUGACUUAGAAGCGAACGAUUCGCGUCAUAACAUGGCUUCUGAUCAGGACGACUAUGAUUCUGAUCAAGGCAGCAACGACGAGGGCAUCCACAUAUCGCGGCUGCGGUGGCGGCGCGCCCGACAUCGCGCGCUCGUUGCCCAUGAACAUGCCCAAGUUCCCCAACGAUCGUCCCUCUCUGCGCGAUUUGGACGACGACGAGGAGCCGGCGGACAUCGCGGCGAGCAUCAAGGCGCUGGCGCGGUCGGUGCACGGCGACGUGUUCGAGCUGCCGCGGCCGCGCUUCUCGACGCAGAUCUAGCGCGCGGCGCCUCCGUAAGGACGAACCUUAGCGCAGCUCUCAAUUCCGUGUCCGAACGUUCUCACUGGCCGCGUCUCCUCUCCUGCGAGACGCUUUUGACAUUUGAAUUUCUAUCGUGAAUCUUCUUGCCCGAUUCUGUUGUGAUCUUUAUGCACGGAAUUAAAAUCUGCAUUAUUAUACUGAAAGGGUUGACUGCUUUAUAAUUUUAAAUAUAACGAUACGAUAUACGUCUAGUUGUGUAAGUUACAUCAGUGUGCUUGAAUUUUAAAUGAUUUGAACACUAGCCAUCUAUUGGUGCUCUCAGAUUGUGAUCGCGGUGACCCUAAUUGCAAAUUACACGGAAACGCGAAUUAUUUUAGUGAAUAUUUGUAAAGACCGAUGAUGCAAUCAUUUUCUGGAAUGCGAUACGAUUUUUUCCUUACAUUGUAAUAACAUUUUCGUUAUUCAUAUAAGGGCAAUGCUUAUUUAUGUAUUAUGGCGUGGUUGUUAUGCAAACAUUAAAGUGAAAUUUCCAGACAGUAGUAACUAAACCUAUCAAUGCAAUAGUCAGAGAUUUGUGCUUACAGUGUAAUUUAUGCAUAUAAAAUUUUAAAUUACUUUUAACAUGUAAAAACAAUAGUGAUUUUUAAAUACUAGUAUUGUCAGUAAGUUUCUAUGAAAAAUUUAAACAAAUCAUGCACUCAACAUUUCAUAAGCAGCCUAAAUAGUACCUUGAAAUCGACUUCCAUUUAUUUAUAUUGUAAUUUUCUUUAAGUAUGUACAGCACGACUAUCUUAAAAUAUAUAUCAAACUAAAUCUUAAAAGCACAUAAUAUCGUUUACAUUUAAUUGAAAAAGAUAUAAAUCGAUGGGUACUCCCAAUCAAUGGCAAAGGGUGAAAUGUUUCGAAAUCGUUCUAAAGAUAAUUAGAUUUUACAUUAAUUACGAGAGUGGAACCGACAGGAAUCAGGUUAUAUGGACACUUAGCACUGCACCCAUUACACAUUUCUAUCCAUAACGAACAAUAUUGUUGACUCUAACAAUGCAUCUACAAUUCCUUUAGAAUUGUAGAUACCUAUUCAUGUCAAUGAUGAUAUUUAAAAUAAUUUAAAACCAUUUUUAUUUUUUUACUGUUAGUAUUUCUGACUGCCUCAGUGGCGUAGUUGUACUGCAUGAGCGGUACGGCAGCGCUCUGAGGUUCUGGGUUGAAAUCCCGGGUCGGGCAAAGAUGUUCGGGUUUUUGUGUCCGAUAUGGUGAUAGGCUUGCCUCCUAUUACUCUUGGCGAAAACUGGGUGCCCUGGUUGCGCCUCUGCAUACCCCAUCGGGGAUAAAUGCGUAAUGUAUGUUUUGUAUGUCUGUUGAAGGCUUAAUUCUAUCUUUUCUAGUUGUAUUUAAAUCAAAAGACUGGUUAACAGUGAACUGACUGUAUACAGAUGUAUGAUAGUAGUCAUAUGAAUGUUUGCAUAAUUACCGCGCUAAAAAUAUGCCAUAUUUAAGCAUUUUCUAUGCCACGCUUCAGUUAUUUGCCAGUAAAUAAAGUGGAUGAAACGAACGGGAGGCUAAACGUGUAUAAAAUAUAUAACGCAUAUUAUGCUAAAUGUACCAAUCGAAAUUGUUUGCCCGUAUUCAGAGGAAUAUUAAAAAUAAAAAAAAACGCUUGUGUACGUUUGUCAUUUAAAACUAUUACCUUGUUUUAUAACAAGUAUUAGAAUAGUGUAUGAUGCAUACUGUUAUGGUAAAAUUAAAAUAAUUCCGUCAAUUAAGGAAACAAUUGGUUCUACUCAUCUACUGAUUGAUGGACACAGAUUAAUAUAUGUUGCCAUAAUAAUAAUAUGCCGAUGAAUGAUGGUGCAGUGUGUGUUGCGCACUGCGCAGUGAGUGUAGAGCCAGAGUACUCUAUGGCGAGUGUCUUGACGUCAGUUGCUUUUGUUAAAUGUGUGUACAUAAAAUUAUUUAGAUGACAAGUAUAUGAUUACGGAUUGUUAACAUCUAAGUCAUAUCCCCGUUAAUAGAUUUUCUAUCAUUUUUAUCUGGUGUUAUCUUAAUGGUAAGUGAAAAGUGUACAAAACUAUAAAAAAACUUGCAUUUCUUACUAGUCUCUUAGGGUCACGAAUUAUUUCUGGUGAUUAAAUUAGUUUCAGUUUUAAGUAGUACAUAAUAUAUUAAAUUAUGAUAUAAAUUUAAAAAAAUAAUCAAUUCAUAUGGAAUCAUGAAGAUGUACAUAAAUAGUUAAGAUCAUUGUUAUUGAUUUUGAUGACGACUCAAUGAAAACUUUUGAAAUACAUUUAUUUUUAUACCCAACAUUUUGAAUGUUUACGUGGGGCGAUGCAGCGGCAUUCGGUGAGGCUCAGGAGUAGGAUUCGGUGACAAAUGACGAUGUAAUUGGAUGUUCUAUUGUUUUGUAUACUGUAGUAGUCUUAAAUCUUAUUGCUAUAUUUUUUAAAGUUAGUUUAUGAAUAUGUUUUCUUGUGUGCGUGUGUCCAUGUCAGUGUCUUCCAUCAACACUGUUCUUGUCAAACAGAAGAGUGAUUUAUUUUCUAUGUGAUGUCAUUUGUUUCAGUCAGUUAUGUUUAAUUAGGUUUUACUAAUAAAUUGUUUCAUUGGCGUGACAAAAAUGAGAUGGACCUUGAAUGUAUUGAAUUUAGAGAUCAAGUAAUAAAUAUAGAACGUGAAUCUUAA